AACGCACGAGACCUGCGGACCUGCGGAAGGAUCAUUAUUGAAUAUACCUGAUGGGUUGUAGCUGGCUUUUCGGAGCAUGUGCACGCCUGUCUUGUUGUUAUUCAUCCACCUGUGCACCAUUUGUAGUCUUCCUGGGGAUUGUGAGUGGCUGACUAUCAGGAAAUCUUCCUGGAUAUGAGGAAUGCUUGCACUUGUGCAGCUAUCUUCAAAUGGUCGCUGCAUUUCCUGGAGGUCUAUGUU
rnacentral:misc_RNA from 1 species